GACGAACGCUGGCGGCGUGCUUAACACAUGCAAGUCGAACGGAAAGGCCCUGCUUUUGUGGGGUGCUCGAGUGGCGAACGGGUGAGUAACACGUGAGUAACCUGCCCUUGACUUUGGGAUAACUUCAGGAAACUGGGGCUAAUACCGGAUAGGAGCUCCUGCUGCAUGGUGGGGGUUGGAAAGUUUCGGCGGUUUGGGAUGGACUCGCGGCUUAUCAGCUUGUUGGUGGGGUAGUGGCGUACCAAGGCUUUGACGGGUAGCCGGCCUGAGAGGGUGACCGGCCACAUUGGUACUGCGAUACGGCCCAGACGCCUACGGGAGGCAGUGGUGGGGAAUAUUGCACAAUGGGCGGAAGCCUGAUGCAGCAACGCCGCGUGCGGGAUGACGUCCUACGGGUUGUAAACCGCUUUCGACUGUGACGAAGCGUGAGUGACGGUAAUGGGUAAAGAAGCACCGGCUAACUACGUG
rnacentral:rRNA from 1 species